rnacentral:tRNA from 1 species
UAUAAUGUAGUUUAAGAUGAACCUUAAUUUUUGAAAUUAAUAGAUUUAGUUUAAUUCUAAAUAUUAUAA